GAGCAUCCACGAGUAUUGGCUGUGGUGGGCAUGGGACAUGUUGAUGGAAUUGCUAAGUACUACGGCAGAAUGAAACAAGAGGAUAUUGUGCCUUUACUUUUUUUACCACCUCCGCCAAUAUAUUCCAUAAUAUUAAGAAAAGGAAUGAAGUACACAUUUUAUUUUUUGGUAUUCUCUUUUUUUUAUAGACUAAUAUUUGGCUAAAUAAAGUGAUUUUAUUAAA
rnacentral:lncRNA from 1 species